GGUUAAUUCGAUGCAACGCGAAAACCUUACCUACCCUUGACAUGUCCUGAAGCCUGGAGAGAUCCGGGCGUGCCCGGAAAGGAACGGGAACACAGGUGCUGCAUGGCUGUCGUCAGCUCGUGUCGUGAGAUGUUGGGUUAAGUCCCGCAACGAGCGCAACCCUUGUCAUUAGUUGCUACAUUUGGUUGGGCACUCUAAUGAGACUGCCGGUGACAAACCGGAGGAAGGUGGGGAUGACGUCAAGUCCUCAUGGCCCUUAUGGGUAGGGCUUCACACGUAAUACAAUGGCGCGUACAGAGGGUUGCCAAGCCGCGAGGUGGAGCCAAUCCCAGAAAGCGCGUCGUAGUCCGGAUUGCAGUCUGCAACUCGACUGCAUGAAGUCGGAAUCGCUAGUAAUCGCGGAUCAGCAUGUCGCGGUGAAUACGUUCCCGGGUCUU
rnacentral:rRNA from 1 species